rnacentral:lncRNA from 1 species
GAUUGCUGUGGAAAAUUCGAGCCCAAUCAUCAUUAAUAAACAUUCUGUCUAGCCUCUUUCAGAUUCUUUUUCAUGGCUUCCUAUUGUUACACCAUGUGAAUUUUGGACUAGUAAAUCCCAGGUCUACUACGACUUCACAAGCAUCCAUAGUCCAUACAAGAGCUAAAAUCCAAGCUAUCUCUAAUUCUAUGUGUCUUGCCACUCAUUUUCUUCCCGGGAUCCAGAAUGACAUUAAAGACACCCCCAAUGCACCUAGGACCUUGAAUCAUAUUGAGGACAUUAUUAAGAUCUACC